rnacentral:rRNA from 1 species
GAUUAUGGCUCAGGAUGAACGCUAGCUACAGGCUUAACACAUGCAAGUCGAGGGGCAUCAUGCGGUUGCUUGCAACCGAUGAUGGCGACCGGCGCACGGGUGAGUAACGCGUAUCCAACCUUCCCCUUAGUAGGGCAUAGCCCGUAGAAAUGCGGAUUAACACCCUAUGUUCUUCAUGGAUGGCAUCUGACGUGAAGCAAAGUUUACGCUAAGGGAUGGGGAUGCGUCUGAUUAGGUUGCAGGCGGGGUAACGGCCCACCUGGCCGACGAUCAGUAGGGGUUCUGAGAGGAAGGUCCCCCACAUUGGAACUGAGACACGGUCCAAACUCCUACGGGAGGCAGCAGUGAGGAAUAUUGGUCAAUGGGCGCGAGCCUGAACCAGCCAAGUAGCGUGCAGGAAGACGGCCCUAUGGGUUGUAAACUGCUUUUGUGCGGGAAUAAAGUCAGGGACGUGUCCCUGUUUGCAUGUACCGCAAGAAUAAGGACCGGCUAAUUCCGUGCCAGCCGCCGC